AGAUGUCUAAAGCUCAAGAUCCGUUUUAUAUCGUUAAAGAAGAGGCUCAAGAUUCCAUUGAUAAGUUGCAAUCAAGUUUUCAUCAGCCGGAAAGGAACAAGUACAUCUCACAAGAGAUAUACUUGUUAAUGUGAGAACAUGGAGUGACAGAAAGGAGAAUGAAUUGGACAAAACCAUACAGAAAGGUGGAUGAAUUGGACAAAACCAUAAGUGUGGCAGCUAGAGACCCUUCUUGAAUCUUGGUAUGGCAUCGAUGAUAGAGAACUUGAAAACUGGAGGAGAUGCAUCACCACUGCCGUGCUCAGGUAUCAUCUGGAGAUUUGUUCAGUAAUGUUCAUUUGCUGGUUGGGGUAUUGCAGGCAUUGUCUUGUUAUUAUAAACAAUGAGGCAUUGUCUUCUUAAUCUUGAAGUCAUGGAUCCCUUUUAAGGAUUACUUUGUUAGAUCAGGUAGGAAAUGUAAGAAGUCUGUAGUCGCUUGAAAAGAGAAUGGUAGUACAGCAAGUUUGAUGUGCCGGGAAUUAAUGAAAUUCCCAAGUUCCCAUGAACCAGGUCAGUCCAACCAGCAUAUUGCAGAAGACAACGAUGACUUUAUCAAAUCAGAAUCAGAUAGACAGAUGCUUAUAAAAUAGAGUUAUCUUGACAUCCAGUUUCUCUUCCCUGCAUUUUUUUCCAUCAUGUUUUGUUGUCUAAUUUUGCUAGUUUUGAUUGUUUUAUGAAUUGAUGCUUGUAGGCAGAAAGAUGGGGAGUUGGAUGAGAUUAGCACUAGUGUUGAGAGAGUAGGAGAUAUUGAGCUUACAAUACAUGAGGAACUUCUGGUACAAGUGAGACUGUCUACUGCUGUAGUCUCAUUGGUUUAUCUGAUUGUUUUCUUUUAUUCUUAUUCAUGAAGGAACUGUAACUAAUUUAAUAUGUUCUGUUCAAUAUCAGUGUAGGAUAUAUAUACACUAUUUCAUAUUCUAAUACUUUGGUGUUUCAGGAUAAAAUAAUAGAUGAAUUGGAUACUGAAACAGGCAGCACAACAAACCGACUGGAUUUUAUUUAGGCUGUUCUCCUUAAUGUGGUAUUGUAGCAUAUAA